rnacentral:tRNA from 3 species
GCCCGCCUAGCUCAAUCGGAUAGAGCGUCAGACUCUUACUACUGAUGGCGGGAUCUGAAGGCUGCGAGUUCGACCCUCGCGGUGGGCU